GACGUAGGGCGCGAGCGUUGUCCGGAUUUAUUGGGCGUAAAGAGCUCGUAGGCGGUCUGUCGCGUCGGAUGUGAAAGCCCGGGGCUUAACUCCGGGUCUGCAUUCGAUACGGGCAGACUAGAGUGUGGUAGGGGAGAUCGGAAUUCCUGGUGUAGCGGUGAAAUGCGCAGAUAUCAGGAGGAACACCGGUGGCGAAGGCGGAUCUCUGGGCCAUUACUGACGCUGAGGAGCGAAAGCGUGGGGAGCGAACAGG
rnacentral:rRNA from 1 species